rnacentral:rRNA from 1 species
UACAGAGGUCUCAAGCGUUGUUCGGAUUCAUUGGGCGUAAAGGGUGCGUAGGCGGCGCGGUAAGUCGGGUGUGAAAUCUUGGAGCUUAACUCCGAAACUGCAUUCGAUACUGCCGUGCUUGAGGACUGGAGAGGAGACUGGAAUUUACGGUGUAGCGGUGAAAUGCGUAGAUAUCGUAAGGAAGACCAGUGGCGAAGGCGGGUCUCUGGACAUUUCCUGACGCUGAGGCACGAAAGCCAGGGGAGCAAACGGG